UACGUAGGGACCAAGCGUUGUUCGGAUUUACUGGGCGUAAAGGGCGCGUAGGCGGCGUGGUAAGUCACUUGUGAAAUCUCUGAGCUUAACUCAGAACGGUCAAGUGAUACUGCUGUGCUAGAGUGCAGAAGGGGCAAUCGGAAUUCUUGGUGUAGCGGUGAAAUGCGUAGAUAUCAAGAGGAACACCUGAGGUGAAGACGGGUUGCUGGGCUGACACUGACGCUGAAGCGCGAAAGCCAGGGGAGCAAACGGG
rnacentral:rRNA from 1 species